rnacentral:rRNA from 1 species
UCUCAAGCGUGAGGUAAGGGCAAUUCGUGGAUGCCUUGGCGCAUACAGGCGAUGAAGGACGUGGCACGCUGCGAUAAGCUGCGGUGAGGUGUGAGCAACCUUUGACCCGCAGAUUUCCGAAUGGGGAAACCCACCUAUCCCGUUUAACUUGACCGUCCCUGGCAACAGGGUCGGGCAAGCUAAAUGGGGUUAGGUAUCACUUAAGUGAAUACAUAGCUUUCGUGAAGCGAACCCGGCGAACUGAAACAUCUCAGUAGCUGGAGGAAAAGACAUCAACCGAGAUUCCGUUAGUAGUGGCGAGCGAACGCGGACCAGGCCAGUGCCUGGAGUUCAACUAGCAGAAGCCUUUGGAAAGAGGCGCCAUAGCGGGUGACAGCCCCGUAUGCGAAAGUGAGACUUCAGGACAUGAGUAGGGCGGAACACGUGUAAUUCUGUCUGAACAUAGGGGGACCACCCUCUAAGCCUAAAUACUCGUAUGCGACCGAUAGUGAACUAGUACCGUGAGGGAAAGCUGAAAAGCACCCCGAUGAGGGGAGUGAAACAGUACCUGAAACGGAUUGCCUACAAGCAGUUGGAGGGUCCUUGAGGCCUGACAGCGUACCUCUUGCAUAAUGGGUCUGUGACUUAAUGUAUCAAGCAAGCUUAAGCCGUUAGGUGUAGGCGCAGCGAAAGCGAGUCUGAAUAGGGCGCCAGAGUUUGAUGUAUUAGACCCGAAACCCGGCGAUCUAUGCAUGACCAGGAUGAAGGUGCAGUAACAUGCACUGGAGGUCCGAACCGAUUAACGUUGAAAAGUUACCGGAUGAGUUGUGCUUAGGGGUGAAAGGCCAAUCAAGCCGGGAAAUAGCUGGUUCUCCGCGAAAACUAUUGAGGUAGUGCCUCGGAUGGACACCCUAGGGGGUAGAGCACUGGAUGGUUGCGGGGGUCGCGAGACCUACCAACACUAACCAAACUCCGAAUACCUAGGAGUGAUAUCCGGGAGACAGACGGCGGGUGCUAAGGUCCGUCGUCAAAAGGGAAACAGCCCUGACCUACAGCUAAGGUCCCCAAGUCGUGUCUAAGUGGGAAAGCAUGUGGAACUUCCAAAACAACCAGGAGGUUGGCUUAGAAGCAGCCAUCCUUUAAAGAAAGCGUAACAGCUCACUGGUCUAAUCAAGAGGUUCUGCGGCGAAGAUGUAACGGGGCUCAAGACACGCACCGAAGCUUAGGGUGUGCGCUUUAUAGCGUACGCGGUAGCGGAGCGUUCCGUAAGCCUGUGAAGCGAUCUGGUAAUGGGUCGUGGAGGUAUCGGAAGUGCGAAUGCAGACAUGAGUAGCGAUAAAAAGGGUGAGAUGCCCUUUCGCCGAAAGACCAAGGGUUCCUGCGCAAGGCUAAUCCGCGCAGGGUGAGCCGGCCCCUAAGACGAGCCCGAAGGGGGUAGUCGAUGGGAACCACGUUAAUAUUCGUGGGCCUGGUGGUGUGUGACGGAUCUCGUGUGUUGUCGUCCCUUAUCGGAUUGGGACGGCCUCGAAGAGGUCCCGGGAAAUAGCCCCACCGUAUAGACCGUACCCGAAACCGACACAGGUGGUCAGGUAGAGUAUACCAAGGCGCUUGAGAGAAGUGUCCUGAAGGAACUCGGCAAAUUGCCUCCGUACCUUCGGAAGAAGGAGGCCCAACAUAGGCGCAAGCUCUUGUUGGGGGCACAGGCCAGGGGGUAGCGACUGUUUAGCAAAAACACAGGGCUCUGCUAAGUCGGCUUCAAGACGACGUAUAGGGCCUGACGCCUGCCCGGUGCCUGAAGGUUAAGUGGAGGGGUGCAAGCUCUGAAAUGAAGCCCAGGUAAACGUCGGCCGUAACAAUAACGGUCCUA